ACCAUGUGAAUGUGAGCAAAUCCCAAAAAUAACGUCUCAGUUCGGAUUGUAGUCUGCAACUCGACUACAUGAAGCUGGAAUCGCUAGUAAUCGCGAAUCAGAAUGUCGCGGUGAAUACGUUCCCGGGUCUUGUACACACCGCCCGUCACACCAUGGGAGUCAGUAACGCCCGAAGCCGGUGACCCAACCAAACGGAGGGAGCCGUCGAAGGUGGGACCGAUAACUGGGGUGAAGUCGUAACAAGGUAUC
rnacentral:rRNA from 1 species